rnacentral:rRNA from 1 species
AUGAACGCUAGCGGGAGGCCUAACACAUGCAAGCCGAGCGGUAGAGAUCUUUCGGGAUCUUGAGAGCGGCGUACGGGUGCGGAACACGUGUGCAACCUGCCUUUAUCUGGGAGGUAGCCUUUCGAAAGGAAGAUUAAUACCCCAUAAUAUAUGAUUCGGCAUCGGAUUCUAUUGAAAGCUCCGGCGGAUAGAGAUGGGCACGCGCAAGAUUAGAUAGUUGGUGAGGUAACGGCUCACCAAGUCAGUGAUCUUUAGGGGGCCUGAGAGGGUGAUCCCCCACACUGGUACUGAGACACGGACCAGACUCCUACGGGAGGCAGCAGUGAGGAAUAUUGGACAAUGGGUGAAAGCCUGAUCCAGCCAUCCCGCGUGAAGGACGACGGCCCUAUGGGUUGUAAACUUCUUUUGUAUAGGGAUAAACCUACCCUCGUGAGGGUAGCUGAAGGUACUAUACGAAUAAGCACCGGCUAACUCCGUGCCAGCAGCCGCGGUAA